CUCGCCGGAAGACCAAGGGUUCCUGUCCAACGUUAAUCGGGGCAGGGUGAGUCGACCCCUAAGGCGAGGCCGAAAGGCGUAGUCGAUGGGAAACAGGUUAAUAUUCCUGUACUUGGUGUUACUGCGAAGGGGGGACGGAGAAGGCUAUGUUGGCCGGGCGACGGUUGUCCCGGUUUAAGCGUGUAGGCUGGUUUUCCAGGCAAAUCCGGAAAAUCAAGGCUGAGGCGUGAUGACGAGGCACUACGGUGCUGAAGCAACAAAUGCCCUGCUUCCAGGAAAAGCCUCUAAGCAUCAGGUAACAUCAAAUCGUACCCCAAACCGACACAGGUGGUCAGGUAGAGAAUACCAAGGCGCUUGAGAGAACUCGGGUGAAGGAACUAGGCAAAAUGGUGCCGUAACUUCGGGAGAAGGCACGCUGAUAUGUAGGUGAAGUCCCUCGCGGAUGGAGCUGAAAUCAGUCGAAGAUACCAGCUGGCUGCAACUGUUUAUUAAAAACACAGCACUGUGCAAACACGAAAGUGGACGUAUACGGUGUGACGCCUGCCCGGUGCCGGAAGGUUAAUUGAUGGGGUCAGCGCAAGCGAAGCUCUUGAUCGAAGCCCCGGUAAACGGCGGCCGUAACUAUAACGGUCCUAAGGUAGCGAAAUUCCUUGUCGGGUAAGUUCCGACCUGCACGAAUGGCGUAAUGAUGGCCAGGCUGUCUCCACCCGAGACUCAGUGAAAUUGAACUCGCUGUGAAGAUGCAGUGUACCCGCGGCAAGACGGAAAGACCCCGUGAACCUUUACUAUAGCUUGACACUGAACAUUGAGCCUUGAUGUGUAGGAUAGGUGGGAGGCUUAGAAGUGUGGACGCCAGUCUGCAUGGAGCCGACCUUGAAAUACCACCCUUUAAUGUUUGAUGUUCUAACGUUGACCCGUAAUCCGGGUUGCGGACAGUGUCUGGUGGGUAGUUUGACUGGGGCGGUCUCCUCCUAAAGAGUAACGGAGGAGCACGAAGGUUGGCUAAUCCUGGUCGGACAUCAGGAGGUUAGUGCAAUGGCAUAAGCCAGCUUGACUGCGAGCGUGACGGCGCGAGCAGGUGCGAAAGCAGGUCAUAGUGAUCCGGUGGUUCUGAAUGGAAGGGCCAUCGCUCAACGGAUAAAAGGUACUCCGGGGAUAACAGGCUGAUACCGCCCAAGAGUUCAUAUCGACGGCGGUGUUUGGCACCUCGAUGUCGGCUCAUCACAUCCUGGGGCUGAAGUAGGUCCCAAGGGUAUGGCUGUUCGCCAUUUAAAGUGGUACGCGAGCUGGGUUUAGAACGUCGUGAGACAGUUCGGUCCCUAUCUGCCGUGGGCGCUGGAGAACUGAGGGGGGCUGCUCCUAGUACGAGAGGACCGGAGUGGACGCAUCACUGGUGUUCGGGUUGUCAUGCCAAUGGCACUGCCCGGUAGCUAAAUGCGGAAGAGAUAAGUGCUGAAAGCAUCUAAGCACGAAACUUGCCCCGAGAUGAGUUCUCCCUGACUCCUUGAGAGUCCUGAAGGAACGUUGAAGACGACGACGUUGAUAGGCCGGGUGUGUAAGCGCAGCGAUGCGUUGAGCUAACCGGUACUAAUGAACCGUGAGGCUUAACCUU
rnacentral:rRNA from 1 species